rnacentral:rRNA from 1 species
UACGAAGGACCCGAGCGUUAUCCGGAUUUAUUGGGUUUAAAGGGUGCGUAGGCGGAUUUACAAGUCAGUGGUGAAAUCUCCCAGCUCAACUGGGAAACUGCCAUUGAAACUGUUUAUCUUGAGUACAUUUGAGGCGGGCGGAAUGUGUCAUGUAGAGGUGAAAUUCUUAGAUAUGACACAGAACACCAAUUGCGAAGGCAGCUCACUACACAGCCAUUGACGCUGAGGCACGAAAGCGUGGGGAUCAAACAGG